UUUUCCGCUUUACAGUUACAUCUAAAAGUCUUUUUUGGUCCCUUUGUCCCCAUUAUAUUUUACCAUUCUGAUUGCAACUUUGUUGUUCAAAUUCGUCUUUUUGAUUUGUUUAACCGAAUCACUUAUUGGCUAAUCUCGCGCUGAAUUCCGCUUUCCACACUUUACAAUUCACUUAUUGGCUAAUUCUCCUGUUGAAUUCCUCUUUGUAGGUUUAAGAAUUGCUCUCUGCAAUCAACUAUUGCUUCUCUCCUUCAACAACUUGUGCUUUCUUCUUCAACUGCUUUUUCUAAAUUGGUUUAGUUAUUUUGGUGAAACACUUCACUUAUUAUUAUUAUUAUUAUCGCAUUGAAUAAGUUGCUAUUCCCUCUUGUGUACAGAUAAUUUAUAGCUUUGUAGCAGAGAUGUGGACGAGUGAAGAAUCGGGUCCUACAGAGAUCACUCUUGAAAGUUCUAAUGGUUCAGUUACACUAGAGCAAAUAUCAUUAGAACGGUAGAAGGCUAUUCGGAUGUAACUGUUUUAAGACACUUUCAAAGUGUUGCUAUUAACUGAGAAGCAGCCACACCAGUGACAGUGUUCAACUUCUUUCCACGAGAUUAAAGCCGUUUUCCCACUAACAAGGACAUGGGAAUCCUGAUAGUAAGUUUAUAUAUUACCGAUGAUAUUGUUUUCAUUGUUCCAAAGUUAUCCUGUCCUAUAGUUGUCUCUAUAUGGCUUUUCAAUGGUUUGGAAGCUUUCUCUUUCAUAAGUAAGAGUUUUAAUCAGUGUUGUUUCGAUUCUUAUUGUUGCUCCACAUGAUGAGUGUUCUUUGUGUUUGUCCUCCAAUGUUUCUGCAUAUUUAAUAGCUGGAUAAUUGUGAUACAACAUGACCAUGGAUAACUAAAGUCAGGAAUACUCUUGAAAGCAUACGAAGAAAGAAUAUACAUCAAUCGUCCAUGGGAAUAUAUACUUACCACGAGAUAAUAGUCACCACAUCUGUU